GCAAGGUUAACCGCAUAGGGGAGCCGGAGGGAAACCGAGUCUUAACCGGGCGUUAAGUUGCAGGGUAUAGACCCGAAACCCGGUGAUCUAGCCAUGGGCAGGUUGAAGGUUGGGUAACACUAACUGGAGGACCGAACCGACUAAUGUUGAAAAAUUAGCGGAUGACCUGUGGCUGGGGGUGAAAGGCCAAUCAAACCGGGAGAUAGCUGGUUCUCCCCGAAAGCUAUUUAGGUAGCGCCUCGUGAAUUCAUCUCCGGGGGUAGAGCACUGUUUCGGCUAGGGGGCCAUCCCGGCUUACCAACCCGAUGCAAACUGCGAAUACCGGAGAAUGUUAUCACGGGAGACACACGGCGGGUGCUAACGUCCGUCGUGAAGAGGGAAACAACCCAGACCGCCAGCUAAGGUCCCAAAGUCAUGGUUAAGUGGGAAACGAUGUGGGAAGGCCCAGACAGCCAGGAUGUUGGCUUAGAAGCAGCCAUCAUUUAAAGAAAGCGUAAUAGCUCACUGGUCGAGUCGGCCUGCGCGGAAGAUGUAACGGGGCUAAACCAUGCACCGAAGCUGCGGCAGCGACGCUUAUGCGUUGUUGGGUA
rnacentral:rRNA from 1 species